UGAGAAAAUGAAGUUUAACCAUGUAUUCAGCUCAUUUAAAUACCUCAUGUUACUGUAUUGUGUGAACAGUUUACUUUACAUUUGAUAUUGUAUGUGGCGCUUUCUUUUGCGGGGUGCAAAUGUUCCACC